CUGAGGAGCGAAAGCGUGGGGACCGACCAGGAUUAGAUACCCUGGUAGUCCACGCCGUAAACGUUGGGAACUUGGGUGUUGGCGACAUUCCACGUCGUUGGUGCCGCAGCUAACGCAUUAAGUUCCCCGCCUGGGGAGUACGGCCGCAAGGCUAAAACUCAAAGGAAUUGACGGGGGCCGGCACAAGCAGCGGGAGCAUGUGGCUUAAUUCGACGCAACGCGAAGAACCUUACCAAGGCUUGACAUAUACCGGAAAGCAUCAGAGAUGGUGCCCCCCUUGUGGUCGGUAUACAGGUGGUGCAUGGCUGUCGUCAGCUCGUGUCGUGAGAUGUUGGGUUAAGUCCCGCAACGAGCGCAACCCUUGUUCUGUGUUGCCAGCAUGCCCUUCGGGGUGAUGGGGACUCACAGGAGACCGCCGGGGUCAACUCGGAGGAAGGUGGGGACGACGUCAAGUCAUCAUGCCCCUUAUGUCUUGGGCUGCACACGUGCUACAACUGGCCGCUACAACAAGCUGCG
rnacentral:rRNA from 1 species